UCUGUUUUAUAUGAAAAUUGAAGAAAGAGAGAGAAGGAACGUGAGUUAGUUGAUAUUUCUUCACUGCCGAGGGUCAAUUGGAGUUCCUGAGGGAGCGUGCCAACGAACAAAGAUUGAAUGCAGCAUCAACGUCACGUGCUGUUAGUAAUGAUGAUCAGUAACAGUCAUGUGCAGAUCCUGUCUCAUGAUAAGAGAAAAAGUAGGCUAAUCUCAGCUUGCACUAUCAGGGCUCCGAACCCCUUACAGUGUGCAUGGGGAGGAGAAGUUGUUUUGACAAUCACACCAAACAUGACUCAAGCGCCUAGAUCUAGAAGAGCUCCGUGUCAACAAGACCGUACUUCGAUAGGAUGUCUAACGCGCUGUGGCUGAGAUAAAGCUUCCGCCAAGUGAAGUGUGACCAACCUACCCCAAGGACAACCCCAAACAGAUGACGAUGAUGGCGGAAUCGAUCGUUGUACGGGCCUGAUAAACGGUUCCAGCUGGUCACCCUCCAGCCGGCACUCUCUCAGGUCACCUUGCUCAAUAAUCGCCGUCAGGCGGCGACAUGUUCAGCCCACUCUAAACUACCGUACGAAAAACUACCCAUACAGCACCGCCACAUGGAGGCAGAGCAGUUUUGCUGGUAGGUCAUUUAUUUCCGCUUGUAGCAACGCUGUUCGAUUUAAUAAUAAGCUGUUGAGUGGA